CGGUCUGUAGCUCAGCUGGUAGAGCAUCCCGACACUUGUGUCGGGAGGGUCCAGGGUUCGAGUCCCUGCAGACCGACCA
rnacentral:tRNA from 1 species